UACGUAGGGGGCAAGCGUUGUCCGGAUUUAUUGGGUGUAAAGAGCGUGUAGGCGGUUAGGUAGGUCCGUUGUGAAAGCCCACGGCUCAACCGUGGAGGGUCAUUGGAAACUGGGGGACUUGAGUGCAGGAGAGAAGAGUGGAAUUCCACGUGUAGCGGUGAAAUGCGUAGAGAUGUGGAGGAACACCAGUGGCGAAGGCGACUCUUUGGGCCUGUACUGACGCUGAGGAGCGAAAGCGUGGGGAGCGAACAGG
rnacentral:rRNA from 1 species